UAAUUCCUUAUUUGGUGUUCUUGUACUAAUUGCAGUAGAUUUUUUUUCCAACGUCUAUUUCUGAAUCUUUGACUUCGUAUUUUGUAUUAUGUUAAAGCUAGAUCAGAUCUUCUUCAUUCAUUCCUUCAUAAUCUGAGAUUAUGAUAUAUGGAAUUGUUGCUCAGAUUCUGUAGUUCAGUGUCAGUGAUACAAAGUCCAGAAUCUAUCUUGUCUAGAGUCAUACUUCACCUAGUCUAGAUUCUUGACGUUUAGAGCCCUUUAAAUUCAUAGUUCAGAAUCCACUUCUAUAUCAUCUCGGAAUCAUCUUUUUUUUAAUAAUUUUCUGCACACUUGAUGAAACGGUUAUUGCACAAAACCGUUCUCUUAUAAUUUGUUAUCAUCAAAACCUCAAGGAUAUAGUUGCAGAACCAAACUUAUUCCAAAAGCAACAUUGUCCUCCUCGGCGCUACUUGCCACUUCUGUCACCAUUGUCCUUCUUGCGUCGUCAUCCUAAAAUCACCAUAGUCCCAAAUCAGCAUUAUGUGAAUGAAAAACAAAUCAUGCAAAUACAAAUCAGCGUAACUUAAUUAAAUUGUGGGAAGCAAUCCUUGUUCUUUGAUUAGCAGGGAUAAUAAGACAUUGUCAAAGAGAUAUGAAUCAUCGUUGAUGAAGCAAAAGAGUGAAGGAAAUGUACUAUCAUCAUAAGUACUAUUCUGAAAACACGUUGAUAUAUUAAAAAAAAACGUUUAAUAAUAUUAAUUC
rnacentral:lncRNA from 1 species